rnacentral:rRNA from 1 species
CCCCUAGACGUUCUGGGCUGCACGCGCGCUACAAUAAUACGCACAGCGAGUAUCACCGAGCUCGAAAGGGCAAGGUAAACAAUAGAAAAGGUACUGUAAUGGUUAUAGAUCCUUGUAAUUAUUGAUCUUCAACGAGGAAUUCCUAGUAAGUAUGUGUCAUCAUCACGCACUGAUUACGUCCCUGCCCUUUGUACACACCGCCCGUCGCUCCUACCGAUUGGGUGAGCCGAUGAAACCCUCGGAUGUAGGCUAUUCAUAGCCCGCAGAAGAGAUUUGAAUCGUAGCGCUUAGAGGAAGGAGAAGUCGUAACA